CCGACUAAUCUGGAAAUACCAUCUCGCCGACCCGAUCCCCCACCAUCGCCACGACCACCUACCCCAGCGCGCCACCACCGGCCCCCUUCCAUAGCGCGUCGCAGCCGGCCCCCUCCCCCAGCUCGCCGUAGCCGGCCCCCUUCCCCAGCGCUCCUCCGCUGCCCUCCUACCCCAACGCGCCGCCGCCGGCCCCCUACUCCAACGCGCCGCUGCCGGAACCCUACCGGACGUGCCGCCGCCCCCCUGCCCCAGCACGCCAGCACAAUGACCUCCCUUUCCCAGUGCGCCGCUGCAGGCCCCCUGCCCCAGCGCGCCACCGCCACGACCUCCCUCCCCCAGUGCGGCGUCGCCUAGCCCCUGCCUCCGAGCAUCGCCUGUCUUCGCGCACAACUGUCCCACUACUGCCUCACGCGCCAACUCUGUACUGAGGCUAGCCACGGUGAUCGAUCACCGAGGGAUGGCCGGUCCUUGCCACCGGCGGCCGCACUCCUGACGUGUCCCGAGCGAUUGCGCCCAUAGAGGCUUGCUCCCAUCAUCCUCCUCCUCCCAGAGUACGAUGGCAAUGGCGACAACAUCCAGUAGGUCCUCCUGUGCCACUGCUCGCCCCGCUUUUACCACCGGCCAGCCAUGCAAAUCCAUGUAAGAAAGUUCAGUUGAACUUGUUGUUAUGCGUCACGGCUGGGGGUGGGAGGCGUGCGGCGGCCGGAGGUGGGAGGUGCACGACAGCCGGGGGUGGGAGCCCCCCUGUGUAGCUGUGGACUCCGUCCUGGCUGGUCUACUUUGGCCGUUCAACUUUGCGUCUUCCACUCGGCCAGCGCUCGACGAGGAGCACCCCGGUCUCGCUCAUGUGUAGAGUUUGGAGUAUAUUCUACCGAUGUGUUAUGCUCUCCUCUAUUUUCAACUGAACGUGCUGCCAUGUGUGGAUUUCCCCUCUAACUCCACAACAAGUUGAAUCCCGCAAAUUCUACUGGUAAGUGCAAGAUUCAGUACUGUCCAUUUUCAUUUUCUAUAAAAAGGCCAAUCAUUCUUGUUGCUUCACAUAUACUAGUAAACAGGAGUAUUGGAUUCCAUCCAUGGAACAAUCAAGCAACCAUGGAUAUCAGCCCACCACUGUGUUGCGGAUGUGAUCUUUGUGCGCUUUUGAGUACUGUAAAACAAUUGUAUGCUUCUGGUUGCUGCUUGCUGCCACUGCCGAAUUGUGUAAGUGCAAAAAGUUUCAUAUCGCAGGUUCAAAGAGGGUUGUAUGCAAGUUCAGAAGUUUGUUUGGAGCAUCUUUAAGUGUUUGUUGUAAUGUAGAAAAGAGUUUUUAAUACUGAAAACGAACCUAGUGAAAAAAUGUCCAGGCGACCAUCAUGCCUACCUCCUGACCCCCGCCGUCAGGUCGCGGCCUCUUCCGCCGUCAGGUCGCAGCCUCUUCCUUCUGCAGGUCGCAGCCUCUUCCUUCUGCAGGUCGUCGCCUCCUGCUGCUGCAGGCUAUGCCCCAUCCCCCAUUCUCACGUGGUCGCCAACAAGGUAUCCUACUACAAUGGUGGUCACCGCCCCAUAACUCUCUCCGGUUCAUUUUGAUCUACUUUUGCACAUUUGUUCUUUAUCUCACGAAUUUUGUUAUGUAGGAGGUGACAAUUGUUGAUCCUGAAGUUUCAUCACAUGAUUUUUUGUCUCUGAAUUUUGCACCAAUUCUUGAUCCUGAAGCAUCAAUGCUUGAGCACUGAUUUUUGUGUGUUAGGUGGGUGUACAGUGUGUUGGGCGUGUGUUUUUAUUUUAUGUUCUGAGCAAAAAAUCGACUACAAAAAUUGUGUCAUGAAAAGUUCAUGUACACCUAUUGAGAUGGUUCUAAAAUUAAACUUUUAAAGUUAAAACAAUAGGAAAUCAGUUAUUUGGUUGUGGAGGUUCUUUUGUCCUUGAACUAUAUAAGAGUUCAGCUUUUGCUUGUUUUUCAGUUCAAAUUUUGCGUUCUUUUCAGUACAUCAACUUUAAUGUGCAGAACAUCGAGGAAAUCUUCAAAAAUUAUAUGUGCACUCUAUGUAUUUUCUUAUGCUUACAAGAAUUCUGCACUCAUACUGUUAUGCAUCAGUUCAAGUCACUUGUGGAGUUUUAGAUAUAUGCAAUUGGAUUAGAGCACCAUGCUCUCACCUAAAAGUUUGAAAAACCAUUGCUUUCAGUUUUGGUAACAUAUAUUUUUGUUUCAGUUUUGCUAAUUCUUUCUCCAAUGGCCUUUAUAUAUUAUCUUUCAUAUGUCUUACUAUAUGAAAAAAUGUUGCCUUCAGCAAGCAAUCUUGCUCAGUUUUCUGGUUAAGAAAACAGACAACAUGGAUUACUACCAUGGGAAUUCAAAGAAAUGUCAUCUAUAAAAAUAGUACAAUUUGUGAGCUUCUUGCGGACUAAUGAUAAGUUACUAGAUAAACUAAGGGUCGUCGUUUGUAGGCUCGUGGCCGGAACCCGAAGCUCAAGUUGUGGUCCAGUAUGUCAGAAAAAUCCAGUUCACCUUCGUAGGCUUUUUCACCUCAUCUUAUCAAAAGCAAAAAAAUCAAAUGUGUUUCAUAGGAUUUGCUAUAUACGUGUACCCCUUUGUAGGCUUUUUCAGUUCAAAUUUUGCUAGCAAAAAUAGAUUUGUAGCAGUUCAACAUAAAAAGUGAAACCAGUUAGUUGAUGGGAAAUAAUUCAAUUAUAUAUGUAUACACUGCAGUAGGAGUUCGGUACAAAAAAAAUUAGCGGUUUGUUAAACAAAAAUAGAAACACAUAUUGUGGUUUAGGGCCUAGACUACAAACACUUCAGUAGCUAAAAAAUGUUCAAAAUAUAGUUACAAUAGUAGUUCGGAGUUCAAAUAUAGUUACCGUCAACGAAUUGGAAUUUUUCAGAUGUUGAGAGGGAAAAAUGCACUGCUUAGUUCAGAAAUAGCUGGAAAAAAAACUAUAGCUUUCUGUAUGCAUGUUUUAUGUUCUUGCAACAAGUGACACCAAACCUGUUUGAUGGAAUGUUCAGAAGGAAUGAUCACACACAAGUGACACGCUCAGUUCAAAAAUCUUAUUUUAGAUCAGUGCAAUUCUUAUGAAGCUCUAAUGGACAUUAUGAUUGCAGUAGAGCUGGACUUCCUCGUAUUCAAGUGCACGCAAGUAAGCUUCAUUUUUGUUUUGUUUAAAGCUACUCCCCAUAAAGUAGUAUCAUUCUUGUGUUUUCUGUACUUGAAGUUGAAUAGUCAUUAUAUUGCCACUUGGGUUCUCUUGCGUCAUUCACCCAGACAAGACCAGAAAAAAUUUCAUGUGUAUCUUGCUAUGCAUCGUGAACUCAUAGAGGAAAUCAACUUUAUAAUCCUUUAUGACUAUGGUGAAUUUUUUCUGGUAGUAUUAACUUGAUACAUUAUUAUCAUUUUUCCAGGGAGUCUACAAGUGCAGGAAUGGUGGGCUCCCAGCCUAUCGAGACCUAAACAUUCGAGUUCAAUUUAGAAGUAUUUACAAUUGUUCAGACCUGAGUUUACAACGGAAAAACAUUUGGAAAUUUAUCGAGCGAAAAUACUUGUUAGAUUCAUUUAAAAAGUGUCGUAUAGUUCAACUUUUAUAUAUAAUAAAUUCAUAAUGAAAUGUGGGAACAAUUCAA